rnacentral:misc_RNA from 1 species
UUUCCGUAGGUGAACCUGCGGAAGGAUCAUUAUUGUAUAACCGAGGUGCGAGGGCUGUCGCUGACCCGAAAGGUCGUGCACGCCCGAGUGCCCUCACACACAUCCAUCUCACCCCUAUGUGCACCACCGCGUGGGUCCCCCUUUGGCUUGUUCGGAGGGGGGCUUACGUUUUCACACAAACUUUGUAUGCAGUGUAGAAUGUAUUUUUUGUUUUUGCGAUCACGCAAUCAAUACAACUUUCAACAACGGAUCUCUUGGCUCUCGCAUCGAUGAAGAACGAGC